CAUUUUCUGUGUCUGACUGUCCCCUUUCUGUUACUUCCUGUUCUACUUUGAAAGUGCUUUUACUUCUGGUCUUUGAGGUUGUUUUCCCUCCUUUUGGUUGUUUGUCCUCCUCAGUUUCACCUGAGUCCAGUUUUCUACCUGUUUGUGCUGCCUGCUUCUGCUCACCAGAUGACUGCAGCUCUCUGUUCUCCCACCACAGAAGAAGAACCAGUACUGCUAUUGAUCGCUGCUGUCAGCAUCCGAUCAUCUAAUCAGCUGUGAACUGAUCAGGUUUGUUGAGCGUCUGAGUCGAGUCCCUGAAGGCAUCGCAGAGACAGCAGAGGACUCGUCGACCUUCACUGAUCUGAUCUGUGAGACGUCCAGGAGAUAGACAGAGCCGCCAGACAGCCGAUGCAGCUGCACAUGUGGUUUUCUUUAAGGACACAAAGACCCAGAAUCCUCCUCUCCGUGGUGCAGCGUGACAUCAGAGGUGGCGUGACAUCAGAGACGGAGCGUGACCUCUCAAGCGCACCGUGACAUCACUGUUCAGGGAAAUGAAACCUUCAGGCGUCGACACGAAGACACGAGAGUUUUACUGAAGCUGAACUGAACAAAGAGAAGAGAAAGUCUUCAGAAGUUGUGCAAAGACGAUGACGGGCACGCAACUCACAAGAAAACUGAGGAAAUGUAGAAACAUUCUUUUAAAACCAUGUA